AACCUAGCACACCUGCGGUGUGUACCUGCGGAAGGAUCAUUACCGAGUUUACAACUCCCAAACCCCUGUGAACAUACCUAUACGUUGCCUCGGCGGAUCAGCCCGCGCCCCGUAAAAAGGGACGGCCCGCCCGAGGACCCCUAAACUCUGUUUUUAGUGGAACUUCUGAGUAAAACAAACAAAUAAAUCAAAACUUUCAGCAAUGGAUCU
rnacentral:misc_RNA from 1 species